rnacentral:tRNA from 1 species
GCCCUUGUAGUAUAAAUUAAUCACACUAGCCUUGUAAACUAGAAAUGGAAUCCACAACCCCUAGGGCA